rnacentral:rRNA from 1 species
GUCGAGAGGCUUCGGCAAUGGGGGAAACCCUGACCGAGCGACGCCGCGUGGAGGAUGAAGGCCUUCGGGUCGUAAACUCCUGUCAGCUGGGAAGAAACGCGAGCCGGUCAAUACCCGGGUCGUUUGACGGUACCAGCAGAGGAAGCUCCGGCUAACUCCGUGCCAGCAGCCGCGGUAAUACGGGGGGAGCGAACGUUGUUCGGAUUCACUGGGCGUAAAGGGGGCGUAGGCGGCCAGAUAAGUGGGGCGUGAAACCCUUCGGCUCAACCGAAGACCUGCGCUUCAAACUGUCUGGCUUGAGUCCGGGAGGGGAGACGGGAAUUCCUGGUGUAGCGGUGAAAUGCGCAGAUAUCAGGAAGAACACCGGCGGCGAAGGCGCGUCUCUGGACCGGUACUGACGCUGAGGCCCGAAAGCGUGGGGAGCAAACAGGAUUAGAAACCCUAGUAGUCC